GAACACAUAUUUUGAAUAUAAUAAAAUGUUUGGAUUUUUAAUUAAAUAGUAAAUGGCAUUUGAAUUUUUAAUAUAACUUUAUUAGUUUAUUAGAUAUAAACAUUUAAAGUUUCAAAUUUUUGAGUUAAUAUACAUGUAUAAUACACAUGAUGAUAUGAUUACAAAUACAGGUAGCUAAAUGGUUUAUAUGAUAUCAAUGUUGCAGUCACGGAUUAUUUAUUAUCAAUUAUGACUAUCAUAGAUAUACUUUCUGUAUUGACAGUUAGUGUAUUUAUAAACUCACAACAAUGUGCCUUACUACCAUUGAUAAUAACAAUGCUGUGUACUUGCUAAUUUCUUUGAAGUUGUUUUAAACAAAGUAACUCAUAACUAAAUACUUUAUUUAUAAUAAUGUCAUUCCACUUCGAAAUUAUAAAUAACGAUUCAAUUAGGUACACAAAAAGCUCAAGAAAAUCAUUGACAGCAUAAAAACGUUCAACUCAUUUAGUCGCACAUAAUUGUUUUAAUGAUUUUUUUGUUAUACAUUUUUGACUUUCUUCGAUUUGACUUUUCAACACAUCUUUUCGCUUUGGAAGAUGAAUAAGAAAUAGCAAGGUUUAAAACAUGAACAGCACAAUGAACAAACGUCGCAAGCGGAUAACUUUGGUGAAUAAGAGAUUGAGCUCCGUUAAAUUGACCAGACAUAGAAG